rnacentral:rRNA from 1 species
GACGAACGCUGGCGGCGUGCUUAACACAUGCAAGUCGAACGCUGAAGCUUGGUGCUUGCACUGGGUGGAUGAGUGGCGAAAGGGUGAGUAAUACGUGAGUAACCUGCCCUUGACUCUGGGAUAAGCCUGGGAAACUGGGUCUAAUACUGGAUACGACAUGUCACCGCAUGGUGGUGUGUGGAAAGGGUUUUACUGGUUUUGGAUGGGCUCACGGCCUAUCAGCUUGUUGGUGGGGUAAUGGCUCACCAAGGCGACGACGGGUAGCCGGCCUGAGAGGGUGACCGGCCACACUGGGACUGAGACACGGCCCAGACUCCUACGGGAGGCAGCAGUGGGGAAUAUUGCACAAUGGGCGGAAGCCUGAUGCAGCGACGCCGCGUGAGGGAUGACGGCCUUCGGGUUGUAAACCUCUUUCAGCACGGAAGAAGCGAAAGUGACGGUACGUGCAGAAGAAGCGCCGGCUAACUACGUG